GUGCAUUCUGGGGCCAUUCCGGCUAAUCGCUGCUUUCCUUGCAAUUGAGCUUGGUUGGUGGUUGUUAGUUGGGUGGUUUCGGGGAUGACUACCGUAAAGGUGCAUGAGUGGUGUUUGGUUUGUUACGGGUGGUUGGCUCUUUGCUUGCGCAACAACUUCCACCUGGCAUACCUCUUCAUUUUUGUGUCGAUGCUUGUAUCGCAUCGAACGCAAUGUGGGUUUCUUGUGUUGCAUGCCUAAUAAACGGUAUCGUUUGAYKGAUUGAUGACUAUUUUCAUCUUGUGUCGCSCACGUGAUACGGGAUGAACCAUAAAGCAACCUUUGUGAUCCACCAUUUUGAUGCCAAAACAUCGAUUUUGUGGCUCACUUUGUACUGCUUGGUCUCAUUGAUAUGGAAACUUUUAUGGGCAUGUGAUCUUUUAGUAGUUCMUUGUUUGCCCUAGUAAAGCUUUUCAAAUACGAUUUCCUAUCAUGUCUUGACGUGGUAGGCUAUAUCGAAUAUGAAUGCUACCUGGUUGAUCCUGCCAGUAGUCAUAUGCUUGUCUCAAAGAUUAAGCCAU
rnacentral:misc_RNA from 1 species